GGAGGGCCGGCGGGCUUUGUUGCUCUGCUCGCGAUUGCACCUACCUGGAGCUCCGCGGGCGCCCGAUUAGCGCCUGAAUGGAGGUGAUGUCACGGUGAUGCGGGCGCCGGCCCCGCCCCGCCCAGAGAAAGGAGCCGAGCCCCGGAGAGGCCGGCGCGAGAACCAGCUCCCGGGUCUCGGGGAGGCGCAGGCCCUGCGCCCCAAUCCCCCGACCGGGCCCCGCCCCCGCGCGCUGUGCCGAGUCGCUCCCACCCCGCCCCCGCCCCGCCUGGGGCUGGAGGUGGCCCCAGACGCUGCGCCGGAGCCCGGCCGGCGGCGCGUCCCAGGGACCCACCCGGAGCCUGGCCUGGGAGCCAGCAUGGCCAUCCACAAAGCCUUGCUGACGUGCCUAGGACUGCGCCUCCUCCUAUUCCCAGGGGCGCAGGCCCAGGACCAUGCCCAUGCCCCACCUGGCUGUAGCCCGGACCUCAACCCCCUCUACUACAACCUGUGUGACCGCUCAGGGGUUUGGGGCAUCAUCUUGGAGGCAGUGGCUGGGGCCGGUGUUGUCACCACUUUCGUCCUCACCAUCAUCCUUGUGGCCAGCCUCCCCUUUGUGCAGGACACCAAGAAGCGGAGCCUUCUGGGGACUCAGGUGUUCUUCCUGCUGGGGACCCUGGGCCUCUUCUGCCUGGUCUUUGCCUGCGUGGUGAAGCCUGACUUUGCCACCUGUGCCUCGCGGCGGUUCCUCUUCGGGGUCCUGUUUGCCAUCUGCUUCUCCUGCCUGGUAGCCCAUGUCUUGGCCCUUAAUUUCCUAGCCCGGAAGAACCAUGGUCCCCGGGGUUGGGUCCUCUUCACCGUGGCUCUGCUGCUGACCCUUGUGGAGGUGAUCAUCAACACGGAGUGGCUGAUCAUUACGCUGGUCCGCGGAGGUGCUGAGGGUGGUCCUCCGGGUAACGACAGUGCUGGCUGGGCCCCGGCCUCGCCCUGUGCCAUUGCCAACAUGGACUUCGUCAUGGCACUCAUCUAUGUCAUGCUACUGCUGCUGGGGGCCUUCAUGGGGGCCUGGUCUGCCCUUUGUGGCCGCUUCAGGCGCUGGCGUAAACACGGGGUCUUUGUGUUGCUCACCGCGGCCACCUCCAUUGCCAUCUGGGUGGUGUGGAUCGUCAUGUACACCUACGGUAACAAGCAGCAUGAGAGUCCCACCUGGGAUGACCCCACGCUGGCCAUUGCCCUCGCCGCCAAUGCCUGGGCCUUUGUCCUCUUCUAUGUCAUCCCUGAGGUCUCCCACGUGACCAAGCCCAGCCCAGAACAAAGCUACCAGGGGGACAUCUACCCCACCCGGGGCGUGGGCUACGAGACCAUCCUGAAAGAGCAGAAAGGCCAGAGCAUGUUUGUGGAGAACAAGGCAUUCUCCAUGGAUGAGCCAGCCUCAGCUAAGAGACCGGUGUCACCAUACAGUGGGUACAAUGGGCAGCUGCUGACCAGUGUGUACCAGCCCACCGAGAUGGCCCUAAUGCACAAAGGCCCGUCCGAAGGAGCUUAUGACGUCAUCCUCCCACGGGCCACCGCCAACAGCCAGGUGAUGGGCAGUGCCAACUCAACCCUGAGGGCCGAAGACAUGUAUGCAGCUCAGAGCCACCCGGCGGCCACACCGCCGAAAGACGGCAAGAACUCUCAGGUCUUUAGAAACCCCUACGUGUGGGACUGAGUCUGCAGCCUGGAGGAGGCGGGCAGGUGUCGGGAGGCCCCUUGGGACCUGUCCUGGGUGAGGGACUCCCCCACCCAGGAGCCCCGUGCUCUCCCGUCCCCCUCCUCCACCCCCUUGCUGGUUCAGGGUGACACUCAGAGACACAAAGGCCCUUCCUAUCUGCCAUUGUUUGGGUGGGUGUCCCAGGUGCCCUCCACCCACUCCUCAGUGUUUGUGGAGUCGAGGAGCCAACGCUGGCUUCAUGCCAGGGUCUCCUGGCAGCUGUGCUCCAGUCAAAUAGUGUUCUUCUCGGGGUGGCAGCCGGUCGGCACCUACGUUCUCUGGAGUCUUCGGAGGCAUUCUGCAACCUUGAGAGAGUUGACAGGCACGUCUGUCCCGGGUCUUGCUCCUCUGUGAGGAACAAAGGCCCAGUCCCCGCAAAAUAAAACGAGAUGUUAGACGCCCUCUUCCCUGGACCGCACGUCAUCCUGAUGUCCUCACUCCUCUGUGUCCAGGCUGGGCAGGGCCCACCACCUUCCCCACCCUUGUCACUGGAGCUGGGAGGGACCAGAGGCCACUGGCCUGAAGCAAUGGACUGAGUGGGGAGCCCUGUGAAAGCCCGAGGCACGUGGCUGGGGCUCUAAGGCCUCUCCCCUUGCAGCCCAGCUCAGCCCCUCCUGGUCCCCAAGCGACUGAGGCCACAAGGAUCUGUCUGCAGACCCCCAGCCUGCCUCCAUCCCCCUCUGAUGCCCUCCCCGCAAUCAGAGCCCAUGUCCCGUGCUGUGGUUCUCCUCGUGGCCACCUUCAGAUGCCUUCCUGGCCACCCUUGGUGUCCAGCAUCAGCCGGUCCCACUCUGCACCUAGAUGAGUCUCCUCCAUGAGUCUUUGGAAUCAAGCCAUGGCCGAAGUUGGCUUUUGCCUUUCUCACCAGGGCCUCCUGCCACCACCUGGACCGCGGAAGGCCACUGAGCUGAGGCAGAGUCUGGGCCUCGGCCUGGGCAGACGCCGCUUGUCUUCAUGGUCUGUGGAUCCCAGAUCUGAGCCCCUCUGGUGCUUCACUCACCUGCCCGUUUGCUCCUCGAUCUCUUCACCACCUUCAGUGAAUUGGGUCCCAUCAAGACACAAGCUGGGGGUUGAGGUUUCAUUCUCAGGGACCAGUUGAGAGUCCUGGACCACAUGGAUUAGGGUUCUAGACCUCUCCCCGGACUGAGAUUUGUGGGACAUGGAUGCCCCUUAGACAAGUGGUAUCUAGGACUGAAGAUUGUGCCAUUUCCUAAUGUGCAGAAGUACAGGUUUCUACCUCACCUUGGUCACCCUGACAUGCUCCAGGGGGUCCUGAUGGACACCCAGGGAAGUGGGGGACAUCCUUUGGACCUGCAUGAUGCUGGCACGACGGACAGAUAUGGUGGGAGUGAGAUCACUGUAGCAUUGUCUCUGGUUUUAUCCUGUUUUGGGGUACCUGAUACCUGGAUCAUUCAAGGUACCCUCCCUAGGUGUGCGCUGGGGCUACAUACUCAGCCCAGCAUCACUUCCAGGAGCUGAGGUGGGGGCCAGGGUGGAAGCCAUGUCGGGGAGCUGGGCUGUGCCUGACAUGGCCCUACAUACAGUCCCACGGCUUUCCUUUGCCGCUGCCAUCUUCCACUCCCAGAAGCCUGUGGCUUUGUCACUGGGAUGUUUUUCCAGAGCUAAGUGGGGUGACCAGUCCCUACAGAGAGUAGGGCCGGGCCCACAAGUGUGCCGUCCCCCCAUCAUUCACAGCCAUCGUUCUGGGUUGCUCAGUUCCAUGAAUGGAGUAUUACCUCCCUCUGAUGGGGGAGGUCUGCACCUCAGACUUCCCCAUCUAGGUUAGUGGCCCCAAGAUCCCCUUAGGGUGAAUAAAGGCACUGUCUUUUCAAGGUGAUGGUCUCGUGCCACAGAGAGCAGCCUGCAGUGGGUAUGUGUGUGUGUAGCCCGAGUCCUCCCAAGAUCUGUGAGUUGGGCCCUGGGCAGGGCUGGGUCCCUAAAAGAUGGCAGGCCUGCGUCCCUAAAAGAUGGCAGGCCUGCCUGGUUUCAGGAAUACUCAACGGCCAUGCUUAGGCCAGUUUGGCCAAGUGCAAAAGAUAGAUGUGUUUUGAGGAGGAAAGCAGUACCUUCUCAGAAGACAUCCAGCUGCUUCACAAACAAGCCUCAAAAGGAAGAAAACAAGAAGAGGCUAGAACCUGCUGCAGGUGAUGCCAGGUUAACACCCUGGUAAAUCCCACACCCACUCCUGUAAAGUGUAGCCUGAAGCAUAGAGGUCGAGACUUCCUAAUGGCCCAGAAUUAAAUGACCUUAUUCUAAGUGUAAGAGAUUAAACUAC